rnacentral:rRNA from 1 species
CCUACGGGAGGCAGCAGUGAGGAAUAUUGGUCAAUGGACGAGAGUCUGAACCAGCCAAGUAGCGUGAAGGAAGACUGCCCUAUGGGUUGUAAACUUCUUUUAUAUGGGAAUAAAGUGUUCCACGUGUGGGAUUUUGUAUGUACCAUAUGAAUAAGGAUCGGCUAACUCCGUGCCAGCAGCCGCGGUAAUACGGAGGAUCCGAGCGUUAUCCGGAUUUAUUGGGUUUAAAGGGAGCGUAGGGGGGUUGUUAAGUCAGUUGUGAAAGUUUGCGGCUCAACCGUAGAAUUGCCGUUGAAACUGGCAGUCUUGAGUACAGUAGAGGUAGGCGGAAUUCGUGGUGUAGCGGUGAAAUGCUUAGAUAUCACGAAGAACCCCGAUUGCGAAGGCAGCUCACUGGACUGCAACUGACACUGAGGCUCGAAAGUGUGGGUAUCGAACAGGAUUAGAUACCCUAGUAGUC